AACGAACGCUGGCGGCAUGCCUAACACAUGCAAGUCGAACGAGACCUUCGGGUCUUUGUGCGCAGGUGGGGUUGACACGGGGUAACCUGCCCUUAGGUUCGGUGUAACUCACCUAGGGAUAUCUUAAUGCCGGAGGAGCUCUUCCCGCCAAAGAGUUAUCGCCGUUGGAUGGGCGCGGGUUGGUUUAGCUAGUUGGUAGUGUAAUAGCAUACCAAGGCGACGAUCCAUAGCUGGUAGGAGAGGAUGAUCAGCCAGACUGGGAAUGAGACACGGCCUAGAAUCCUACGGGAGGGAGCAGUAGGGAAUAUUGGACACUGGGGGAAAGCCUGACAAAGCCAUGCCGCGUGAGUGAUGCAGGCCUUAGGGUAGUACAGCUCUCUUAGACGGGAUGAUAAUGACAGUACCGGGAGAAUAAGCUCCGGCUAACUACGUG
rnacentral:rRNA from 1 species